GGAGGAUCCUUAAAGCUAAGUGAGCAGUGAGCUGCCUGCAGCAAGGGAGCAGCCCUGGAAAUCCAGAACGUUGUGAAGCGUUAACAAGCCUCCUGAGACUUGAGGAAGACCCCAGGUUGCCUUUUGCUGAAGUCAACUGUUAGCCACACUGCAUUGAAGCAGCUGGGCUUUGCAGCAUGCAUCUUGUUUUUGUUGCUGAGAAGGACUCCAUGAAACAAAUUAACCAGAUGCAAGUUCUGACUUAAACCCACUGGGAACUGGAAAGGUAUCAUCCACCUCCAGUUCUCAGUUUCCUGAAAACCAAUGGCAAUUUCAGUGUCCCCGUUUUGGGGCUCCUGUGGGGACUGCUCCCAGUGUGACACAUUCAACAAUCAGAUCAUAAAAGUGAAGUCUAGAACGUGCAAGGAAGGGACAAAGCAAGGAUCUUGGCAGCUCACCAGCCUCGCUAUCUUUCUUGGCUGAGGCUUGCAAGCAUCAAGUUGCGCUCCUGUGUGGAGGAACAAUGGUUUAAUGUUCGAUAGUGAUCAGAUCAGGAGGAGAGCAGAACACCAGGCAUCCGACAGGUUGUCAAACCUGUCACAUCCCAGCGUUUUCUUCUCCUUGACAAGGUUAGCCACUGACUGACAAGGGUACACUUUGCCAGGAUGGCAGCAGAGCCUUUAGGAGGAAGAAAAAUGCUUUCAAAAAUGAGUUCGACUGCUUUCCACAUAUCACAACAUCUCUGCACAAAGCUGCAUUCUCAGAUGUGCCUUUGCAAUGACUUUGAAUCUUUUC